GGCCAAAAUUCCUUUAUUAUGACAAUAUAGAAACUAUUAAAAAAAAUUCUAAACGCGUUUCGCCCACAACAGGCUUCUUCAAGUAGAUUAUAGUAGAAACAGAAACCUGACUGACAAUGCUUUAUAUAGGGUAUACUAAAUGUACUGGAAUUUGAAUAUUCCCGCCAAAAUGACGUCUUCACAAACUUAAUUUUAAAGUACAUCAAAAUAGUAUAACAGUAAUAUAAUUAUCAUAUACAUACAUAUACAAAUGGACUAUAUGCAUAUUUUAUGGAAAACGAGAUGUAGAUCAUAAUUACAAGUGAAAGUCACGUGACGCGCGGCACAAAAUUACUUACGCGUCACGUGGGUGCAAUGAAACGCAUGCGUUCCAUAGUGAUGGAACGCAUGCGUACGGAGACAGAGUGCCGGCCGGGUAGAAUCAGGGAAGCCCCACGUCAUGAGAGGGGAGGAACCCUCUGGUGAUCGUGAGUGCUGGAGGCAGGCUGUGAGCAUGCCGUCUUUUCAAACAGAUGAACAGACAGCAUGCUCUCAGUGGGCAGCCAGACCCCAGAUUCAAAUACAUAGGGGGCACACAGAUGGAACCAUAGCAACAGAUUGAUAUAAUAAAAUAUAAAAAUAUAUAAAU